UGUGAGGUCUAUCUGGCUGUGACACGUCCCCCCAGUGACUAUCAGGGUUGAUUCACUGAUCUGGCUGGCUUGGCAGGUGUCCCCUUCCUCACUCACUGCUCCAUGUGUGUGCCUCCUGGACCUGCAUGCUCAUUUGAAGUGGAUGACCUCCUCUGGUAGAUGAGGACCAUUAUUCAGUUAGGGGAG
rnacentral:snRNA from 1 species